AUUGAACGCUGGCGGCAGGCCUAACACAUGCAAGUCGAGCGAGAGGCGGACGGGUGAGUAAUGUCUGGGACACUGCCUGAGGGAGGGGGAUAACUACUGGAAACGGUAGAAAAUACCGUAUACCAUCAGAUGUCCCCAGAUGGGAUUCGCUAGUAGGUGGGGUAAUGGCUCACCGAGGCGACGAGCCCUAGCUGGUCUGAGAGGAUGAUCAGCCACACUGGGACUGAGACACGGUCCAGACUCCUACGGGAGGCAGCAGUGGGGAAUAUUGCACAAUGGGCGCAAGCCUGAUGCAGCCAUGCCGCGUGUAUGAAGAAGGCCUUCGGGUUGUAAAGCACUUUCAGCGGGGAGGCGUUACUCGCAGAAGAAGCACCGGCUAACUCCGUGCCAGCAGCCGCGGUAAUUC
rnacentral:rRNA from 1 species